rnacentral:lncRNA from 1 species
GCAUCACAGAGACCGGCCCGCUAGCUGAGAGACGCCAGCCAAGGAACAGCGAAGAAGCCCUUGGGUUGUCCGUGUGAGACUGUGGUUCUUUGGAUCACCCCAACUGGCCCUUCAGCUCCAGGUGACCACCCUGGCCGGGUGCCUCAAGGUCUGUAUCUGGGAAGCCCGAGGACAGCGGAGCCAGGGACCAGGCCCUCCCUAUUCAUGUGGUCUGAAUAAGAUAACUCCUGAAGCCCGAGCAAGGAAUCCUGUGGCUUGGAAUGAAGUAGUCUUAGGAAGAUGAAGUUGUUGGCAUAGUAAAUGGUGCCAAAUGUGUCCUUUAAGUAUAUUUUAUAAGAGCUCCAUUGUCAGUGGCACUAAAGUAACCAUGG